rnacentral:rRNA from 1 species
CUGGCGGCGUGCCUAAUACAUGCAAGUCGAACGGUCUUUCUAUGGAAGCUUGCUUCCACUGAGAAGAUAGUGGCGAACGGGUGAGUAACACGUGGGUAACCUGCCCAUAAGAGGGGGAUAACAUCCGGAAACGGGUGCUAAUACCGCAUAGUUUUCUUGAUCGCAUGAUCGGAAAGGAAAGACGGCCUUUGUGCUGUCGCUUAUGGAUGGACCCGCGGCGUAUUAGUUAGUUGGUGAGGUAACGGCUCACCAAGACGAUGAUACGUAGCCGACCUGAGAGGGUGAUCGGCCACAUUGGGACUGAGACACGGCCCAAACACCUACGGGAGGCAGCAGUAGGGAAUCUUCCGCAAUGGACGAAAGUCUGACGGAGCAACGCCGCGUGAGUGAAAGAAGGUUUUCGGAUCGUAAAACUCUGUUGUCAGAGAAGAACAAGUUGGAGAGUAACUGCUCCAGCCUUGACGGUAUCUGACCAGAAAGCCACGGCUAACUACGUGCCAGCCGCGGC